ACGUGAGCCUGCGGGAGGCCGUCAUGCUGGACGGCGAGUGUGGACGGGGAGCUGGCCACGGUGCGGCGAGGAGUCAUGAUGGAAGGGCAGCUGGGGGAAGAGGACCAUGGGGAGGACAUUUCUGCAGGACCCGGGGAGCUGCUGCUCUCUUGCUCCGGAAGCUUCUCCUAUGUCUCUCAAGCCUUUUCCUGCUUCGCUGGACGGACCUCGUGAACCGUCCUGGGGAUCCCGCGCUCGAGGGGCUGCUGGGUGAGGCUUCUUCAUUCCUCAGCUGGGGACAGAUGGUUGGAAAUUUCUCCAAACACAAUGGCGCUGGGGUUUCCUCCCACACCCUGGUGGUGACCGUCCCCUGCUCUCGGGACGCUGCCACCUGGACGUCACCUCCCGUGUUGGGAGAAGUGCACUUUGUGGUGGACGCCUCACCUGCCCACUGCCUGACUUCUCCCACGUCUGGGAUCCCGUGGCUACUGAGAGGACCCCGGUGGACAGGUGGGUGGGUCUGGAUGAUGGCCCCCAGCGUGGCCCAGGGCCCCGCCAUCUUACCCAGGAUGCAGCUGGGCUUGGCCAGACGUGUAUCACAUUUCCCCUGGAUCACAUUCUGCCUCUCCUCCAGCCAACAACGGGCACCUUGCUGCCCCUGUGCUGGUGGCAUGAGGGACCAUAAGG